AUUGAACGCUGGCGGCAGGCCUAACACAUGCAAGUCGAGCGGAGCGGCGGACGGGUGAGUAAUACCUAGGAAUCUGCCUGGUAGUGGGGGAUAACGUUCGGAAACGGACGCUAAUACCGCAUACUAUCAGAUGAGCCUAGGUCGGAUUAGCUAGUUGGUGAGGUAAUGGCUCACCAAGGCUACGAUCCGUAACUGGUCUGAGAGGAUGAUCAGUCACACUGGAACUGAGACACGGUCCAGACUCCUACGGGAGGCAGCAGUGGGGAAUAUUGCACAAUGGGCGCAAGCCUGAUGCAGCCAUGCCGCGUGUAUGAAGAAGGCCUUCGGGUUGUAAAGUACUUUCAGCGGGGAGGCGUUACCCGCAGAAGAAGCACCGGCUAACUCCGUGCCAGCAGCCGCGGUAAUAC
rnacentral:rRNA from 1 species